AACGAACGCUGGCGGCAUGCCUAACACAUGCAAGUCGAACGAGACCUUCGGGUCUAGUGGCGCACGGGUGCGUAACGCGUGGGAACCUGCCCUUAGGUUCGGAAUAACACCCCGAAAGGGGUGCUAAUACCGGAUAAUGUCUUCGGACCAAAGAUUUAUCGCCUUUGGAUGGGCCCGCGUUGGAUUAGCUAGUUGGUAGGGUAAAAGCCUACCAAGGCGACGAUCCAUAGCUGGUCUGAGAGGAUGAUCAGCCACACUGGGACUGAGACACGGCCCAGACUCCUACGGGAGGCAGCAGUGGGGAAUAUUGGACAAUGGGCGAAAGCCUGAUCCAGCAAUGCCGCGUGAGUGAUGAAGGCCUUAGGGUUGUAAAGCUCUUUUACCCGGGAUGAUAAUGACAGUACCGGGAGAAUAAGCUCCGGCUAACUCCGU
rnacentral:rRNA from 1 species